rnacentral:lncRNA from 13 species
AUGGCCCCAGCCGGUCCCCCAGCCAGGCAGACCAACUCUAAACACUUUGAGGAGCAGACUCUGUAUGACUCUCCAGAUCAGGAACCCAGUGGAGAGGAGGCCCCACCCUCAACCUGUAGCCCGGACCCACAGGAGCCCCCGGGGCCCCCAGACACAUCGCUGGCCCUCAGCCCCUCCAGGGGCCAACACACUGGGAGACGGCAGGUGGGUCAGCUACUAUGCACACGCACACACACACACACACACACACACACACACACACACACACACACUACCCCAGUCACCUCAGAGACUCACCCCAGUCCGGUAGGAGACGGCUACUGGGGAGACAGGGGCAAGUUACAGCGAAUCAUGGGAAUCAUGUGAUUAAUUUGAUCCAUUCUCUGGCAGCCGUAGUCCUGCACCCCCACCCCCCCUCCCCGGGCCGGCGUGUGCUGUGGGUUUCAUGCAUGCCUGGGGCUCAGGCACUGGCUGAUUUACCACAUUAGGCUUCCGAUCGUUCAAGUUCCAACCACUUACUAUUUUGACUAAUAUGUUUUUAGAUAACACUCCAAAUCUGCCAUACAGACACACAUCGUUAAGGACUUUGUAGGCAGCAAAAAAAAUACAUGUCACUUUUGCUUCCACUUAGGCUUUUUAACAUGAAUACAGACCAAAACAUCAUUGACAUCUCUUUAGAGAGAGGGUCAUACAGCAUACAGCACCAUGACGGGUCCAGCUGUACCAGUCUGUCUCUAUUCUGUCUGCCAGAGGAGUCUCCCGUUACACACCUGGGUGGGUGGUGUUAACACCCAGCUACAGAGAUGACACAGACAUUCCAUUAGUCCGGCCCUCUCUUCUCCGCUCCACCUGGACAGGGGCCUGGCCCUAGAACCUUAUCUGAUCUGACGCUGGAGGGAAUACUGACCCUGACACACACACAGCGCACGCACGCACACACCACACACACAUACACUCACGCGCUGGCCAGCGUUCACACACAACCUUCAGCCGCUCUGCCCACAUCACACUGUUUUUUUGUUGUUGUCACUUUCCCUCCAGCCUCCAGUCCAUAUCAGUCAAACCAUUAUAGGGGCUGUACUUUAGCAUGUCUUGUGUGUUAGUUUAUGUACAACACUCUCUCCUGGUUCUUCCCUGCUCCUCUUAAUGUCUCUUAAUGUCUCUUAAUGUCCCUUUUAAAACCUUUUAGUACCUGUUGCUUUUUUUUGCAUCCUGAAAAGCACCGAGUGGGUCUUUGAAUGGCCCAUAUAGCUGUGGGUGUGUGUGGGGGCGCGUGUUUGUGUGUGGCUUACAAUAUAUCCCAUUCACAUCACCCGGGUCCUGAACAAGUCGUGCUUUGAGAGCCCUGGCUGGCGCUGCUACACACAUGACACGGUGCUGCCAUCAUAAAGAACUCCAUUGAUGACAGUGUGACCCCACCAGUCUCUCUCUCCACUCACAGGGAGAUGGAGGGAGGGGUGAGGAGGGGGGGUCUAUGGAGUGCCUCUCCAACGUGGAGCUGGGGUCAUCAACCGUUCAGGAAAUAACAUACUUUUAUUUCUCGCACUCUCUCCUUCU